ACCUCAAGAAUGUCUUUUGUCUGCCUGCCUGUCUCUCCUCCUCUCAGAGGGAUGAGAGGAGGAGAGGGGCAGCAGACACACACAUGCUCUGAGGGGCUGUGGGAUUCAGCAUUCCAUUUACAUUGUUUUAUUACCAGCCAUGAUAAAUGAAUUGUUGUGUAGAUGCAUAUUCACAUUUCCUGUUUAAUUAGCCUUCAAAGAGUCUAAACGCACAUUGAAAUAUGUCAUUAUAGUUGAAAGAAGGACUUACACUAAUGAAACUAUCAAAAUCUGCACAUUGAAAUAGACUUUGCAUUCUUCCUAUAACAUUAAUUAAACAUGGUAUAUCAAUUAAUGUACAUUUGAUUCAUAUCAGGGUAAAACAACAUCUUCUACCAGUCUGUAUAAGCAGAAAUGUGUCUCUACCUCCUCUAAGUUCACAGCCCAUUGAUUUUGGCUUACAUGCUGGGACGUGGGGGUUAUUAGAUCUGUUGUGUCAGUCGUAAAAUGGGGCAAUAGUCACUUAACGUCCCUUUGAUGUCAUCCUAGUGAGUCCUGCAACCUAGUGUGACUGAUCAGAUUAGUUUGGCUCCAAGCAGUCAUAAAUAUAGUAAAAUUGUCAUUCAGUGCGCUUGAGUCCGGCAAAGGUCAUGGGACAGCGGAGGUUCCUGGUGGAAAGCUUAUAAGUUCUCUGAACAGGGCUUGUUUAUGACUUAGAGGCAAACUUUCAGAAAAAUCUAAUGCUUUUUAUAAAUAAGGAUGCCAAAUGUUCAUCCAAAUCUGUGUUGGUCACGCCACAGCAUGUAUAGCAAGUAUCAAGGGCAGCGAGUAUGUAUGAGAGCUAGUAUCAGCAGCAACCGAUUCAAGUCGAGAAUGCAGGUUUGUCCUACUGAAUGGUCUCAGGAGCAAGCGCAGCUUGGUUAGCCCAGAGGGGAAAACAUGUAUUAGUCAGUCACCACCUGUAAUGCUUAAAGCAAGUUAACUUUGUCACACAGUACUCAAGUAAGUUUGUAACACUAUUUAAGGUUGUAAUACUUCCAGUUAUAUGCAGUUAGUUUAGUAAUAUAUAAAAGCCGAGUAGGCCUUUUUUCCACAUUAAGCCAGUUAAAUUUAGCAUUUUUAUCCCCCAGAAUGGAGCUUUUUCAAAACGGCCUCCAGAAUGUGUAAAUCUUAAAAUGAUGAAAUAAGUAGCCCAGUUAGGGUUGGGGGUUGUGUUCCAGUAAAGCUAAGAAGAUAACCUUUGGUUGCUUCUAACUUUCUCUGUGAUUGUCCAUUUUAAAUGUCAGUACAGCCGAGUGCACAGGACAGCUGUUGUCAUUAACCUGGAUUUAUGUUAAUUUUGACAGACGACGCAGUGCGGCAUCUUGGGAAUGACUGCUAGUUAACAGGUAGUAUUUAUGGGCUGCAAUUGUUCUAUUUCAUACUCAUUCAGUUGCCUCAAGAAACAGAAAAAUGUGUAAAUAAGAACAACUAUAAGGUGAAUUUGGCUGUAGUAAAACAGAUUAGAUGACCACAGAGCAGAAGGAGUCUGAAAAGGUGCAAUGGGCUGACACUUGGUAGAGUAACCGGCUGUGUACGAACUCUCGUCACAGAGUGCGUGGCAGCAAAGUGAACAACUUAGCAAAGACACCUUUCUGUCAUUAACUUUUUCUGUGUUCAUGCAUUUUAAAUGUCAAUAUAACCGAUGACUAACCUGUAUUUAUGUUGAUUUUGUCAAGGCGACGUUGCGACCAUAAAAUAAUGAUUUGGACAGUCUGCCAUAUUAAUCAACUGUUGUCAAUCAAAGAAAGAGGAUAUAUGGAUAUAUUACAGUAAUACUAGUGAAAUUUGUUCUGGCUACUAGUGCCACUACUGAGGGUUCCACUGCUGAGCAGCACUCCAGUCAAUGAGUGAGGAAGACGUCCUGUGCCAUCUUUGAUUUUACAUGAUCUCAACGGGGUAGCCAAGCUGCAAAGGAUCCAUGGUUUCUUUGCCAUUCUGGAAGUGGCUAACAUUAAAGUGAUUCCAAAAAAUUAAACAAUUGCACCCAAGAAGCCAAGGGCUGUGACAACAGUAGUGCCCUGAAUUCACACAGUAAGGGGAGAUGCACAGUGGUGUUGAACACAAAAAG